rnacentral:rRNA from 1 species
AUUGAACGCUGGCGGCAUGCCUUACACAUGCAAGUCGAACGGCAGCACGGGAGCAAUCCUGGUGGCGAGUGGCGAACGGGUGAGUAAUAUAUCGGAACGUGCCCAGUCGUGGGGGAUAACGUAGCGAAAGCUACGCUAAUACCGCAUACGAUCUAUGGAUGAAAGCGGGGGAUCGCAAGACCUCGCGCGAUUGGAGCGGCCGAUAUCAGAUUAGGUAGUUGGUGAGGUAAAGGCUCACCAAGCCGACGAUCUGUAGCUGGUCUGAGAGGACGACCAGCCACACUGGGACUGAGACACGGCCCAGACUCCUACGGGAGGCAGCAGUGGGGGAAUUUUUGGGACAAUGGGCGCAAGCCUGAUCCAGCAAUGCCGCGUGCAGGAUGAAGGCC